UGUAGAAGCUGCUUUCCAGUGUAUUGCCAAGAAUGCUCUCAAAAAUGAACCUGAAGAAGAAAUUUACCUUCCCGAGACCAUUGAUGUGGCGGGGGGGGGGGGACNNNUCUUCAGGCUGUGAAUGUUAAAAUAUUUCUCUUCAAUGGGGUUCUUUUAUUGGAAGUUGACAGUGGCAGGCCAAACAAUGUACUCUAUUUGCCGUGCAGCAACAAGCGAAGGAAGGCUGUCCAGUCUUCAUGUAUAUUACCACUUAUCAGUGCCUACAAGAAAGAAUUCAACAAUAUAUCUGUUUUAUCUCAUUUUCUCCAUAUAUUUGUUUUCAACUUGGUUUCUUCUCUGGAUUCUGAU
rnacentral:misc_RNA from 1 species